CUGCCCACAAACAACCUACGCGGCCUGCGAGGACUCUGGCCCGGCGGACCGCAAUGGCCGGGGUGUUCGCCGCGGGAGGGCGUCGGGAAGGGCGCGGGGAGGCCGGGAAGGGAAAGACGGAGCGUGGACCCCGCAGGGCCGGAGGGGAGAGGCCCAGAGCCAAGCGAACCGGCAGGGGCCGGCUUUCCCAUUGCGGCCCACCUGCGGCAGAGAGAAUCAUUUCUUCCCAAGAUUGCAUGGCGGGGCUUCUCUCAAAGAACAAGAAUCAAAAGGCAAGAAAGGGCGCAAAGAUCAGAGUUGAGCCCUCUCCUGAGAAGUAAAGCCCUUUUCCCCCUUUUCUUUCCACAGGACUUUCAAGCCCUUUGUCUUUACUCCAAGAGAGGUUUUGGUUUGUCUUCUUAAGUUGGAGAGUAGGUUCAUGUAGCCACACAAUAAGAGGGAUCUGAAGAAGGAGGGAACUGGCCAGUUAAACCCCUCCACCUUAUGGCCAGUGCUUACUGGAGAUGAAUUUUUGUUGAUAGGUACUCAAGCAAGGCAAAAAAGAUAAUGACACUUUGCGCAUUUGCCAUAGCGUCUCUCAGCAACAAGGACCUCCAAGUGCAUUACAUUAAUUUUAACGUGCCAUAAGAGAAGUGUUGUGCUGUCCCCGACUUCCAGGUGGCUUAAAGGAGGUUCAGUUGCUUUAAAAAAAAAAAAAUGCUUCCGGUUGACACUGACUGAGAGGUAUAUGUGGGAACAGUAGCUAAGUCAAUGUAUACCUCAAAAUGUGACAUGGAGACUGUUGUCAUCAAGGAGUCCCCAGAAGCCCAAACUGAGAGAACGAAAAGAAGAACAAACAGAUGGGAGACUACAGUGAAGCACAUACAAAAGAUAGUCUGGAAAGAAAAACAGGCAAGAUCUAUAACAUUAAAACCAGUGAGGUGUUUGAGCUUUGGCAGGGGAAUCCUAAGUCCUUAUUAAUGGAAAUAGUCAGGAUAUAUUAGUUAAGGCUCAUGAAAUGAAAAGGAAUUGAAAAUGAAAAUGGAAUAAAAGUCCUCAAAAUAUGUACAAAAUGCAAAAUGACAGUAAUCUCCUGGCCUUGACAUUCAAGAUUAUAAAGCACAGCUUAAAUCACAAGACCCAACUGGCUAUUCUUCCUUCCAAGGAAUUAUUUGGCUGACAAUUAAAAUUUCUCUCAGAAAUACGUAUUUUUUCCAGAACUCAGAAAACAUAAUUUCUCUAUCAAUGUAAUCAUAACUAAGAAAGCCAUGCAAAUUUUAAAUCAGUUUACAAAGAAAUAGAUGCCCUAAGAACCAUUUUCUAGUUCAUUUUCAAAGUUUUUAAGUUUGUGAAUAGGUUAACUUUUUAUAAAUUCCAGCCAGAAUGAAAUGUGUAUUCUAAUUUAAAGUUGAUAAGUAUUUAUGGUUGGAGAAAAAAGGGGGUUUAUUAUUUUUAAGUUGCUUUUUCACUUACCGCCAGCAUCCUGUUUCCUCCGCUGUAUCUGAUGUGUUUACCAAGACAAAUGCAGAAUAAAGAAUGGUCACCCCUACACUGCUCUAAAGAAAAGUAAUAGGGUUAUCAUCAACUAUUACAGGAAGAGCUCAGAUCCAGAACAGAGCUUCUGAUGCAUGUGAAACUUUUUAACCUAACUUAGGAGCUAUAAAGCCACAUUGCAUUCAAAAACCCUUUUCAGUGUUACAUAUUUCAAGAAUUAUUUGAUGUUUCUAUAACCUAUAACUGACUGAACCCUUGAGAAAUUUAAGUUGACACCUAAUUUAAGUUACAGACAUCUAACUGAAAAAUACAUAUCCUCUCAGGUUUUCAUUUUGUUUGGAUAUUUUAAAUAGACUUGACCUUGCAAAGUUUCUCAUGAAUACUGACUCUUAUUCCUCUCUC